AGAGAGAGACAUGCGCGCAUAUCAAUAAGCGGAGGAAAAGAAACUAACAAGGAUUCCCUUAGUAACGGCGAGUGAAGCGGGAAGAGCUCAAAUCUGAAAUCUUCAAGGUUCUACCUUGACGAAUUGUAGUUUAUAGAAGUGUUUUCUGUUAGUGGAGUGGCAAAAGUUCUCUGGAAUAGGACAUCAUAGAGGGUGAGAAUCCCGUAUUUGGUCAUUCCUUCUAGCGUUGUGAUACACUUUCAAAGAGUCGGAUUGUUUGGGAAUGCAGUCCAAAAUGGGUGGUAAAUUUCAUCUAAAGCUAAAUAUUGGCGAGAGACCGAUAGCGAACAAGUACCGUGAGGGAAAGAUGAAAAGAACUUUGAAAAGAGAGUUAAACAGUACGUGAAAUUGUCAAAAGGGAAGCGUUUGACACCAGUGUUGUUUCGUCCGAAAAUCAAUUACAAUAGUUUUGAUUUUAAGUAGUUAUGACUUCAUCAGCUUGCUGCUUUCUUUAUCAGAAACUUUCUUGAAUGCACUUUUCGGUUAACAAGUCAACAUCAAUUUCUUUUGUUGUAAAAGGGUAUGAGGAAGGUGGCUUUCUUUUCGGAGAAAGUGUUUGUAGCCUUGUGCCUCUGCAAUCGGAGAGAUUGAGGUCUGCAGCGUAGAUCCUUCGGGGUUAGAUACGUUUGUGCUAAGUUAUAGCUUUUCAUAGACAACUUGUUGACUAUGUUUAGUCUUGUAGCUUACUCGCUGACGCUAUUUUACCUACGCUUAGGAUGUUGAUAGUCACAGCGUGUAC
rnacentral:rRNA from 1 species